rnacentral:rRNA from 1 species
AUUGAACGCUGGCGGCAGGCCUAACACAUGCAAGUCGAGCGGAGCGGCGGACGGGCGAGUAAUGCCUAGGAAUCUGCCUGGUAGUGGGGGAUAACGUCCGGAAACGGGCGCUAAUACCGCAUACUAUCAGAUGAGCCUAGGUCGGAUUAGCUAGUUGGUGGGGUAAAGGCCUACCAAGGCGACGCUCCGUAACUGGUCUGAGAGGAUGAUCAGUCACACUGGAACGGAGAUGCGGUCCAGACUCCUACGGGAGGCAGCAGUGGAGAAAAUUAGAUAAGGGGCUAAGGGCUGAUCCAACCAUGCCGCGUGGGGGAAAGAGGUCAUCGGAUAGGAGUGCUCUUUAAGUUGGGAAGCGUUAUCAACAGAAUAAGGACCGGCUAACUUCGUGCCAGCAGCCGCGGUAAUAC